rnacentral:rRNA from 1 species
AGAGGGGUGCGAGCGUUAAUCGGAAUUACUGGGCGUAAAGAGCACGUAGGGUGGUUGUUUAAGUUGGCUGUGAAAUACCUGGGGCUUAACCUGGGCAGGCCAGCCGAAACUGGGCAACUAGAGUACAGUAGAGGGAAGUGGAAUUUCCGGUGUAGCGGUGAAAUGCGUAGAUAUCGGAAGGAACAUCAGUGGCGAAGGCGACUUUCUGGACUGAUACUGACACUGAGGUGCGAAAGCGUGGGUAGCGAACAGGAUUAGAUACCCUGGUAGUCCACGCCGUAAACGAUGAGAACCAGCUGUUGGGAGAGCGAUCUUUUAGUGGCGCAGCUAACGCGUUAAGUUCUCCGCCUGGGGAGUACGACCGCAAGGUUA